CGAAUAAAAAUUCAAGGAACCUGGGGACUGCUAGUUGGCACAGCUGAGAGUUAGUAUUUCGAACACCGACUUGGGUAAAAAUUCCUCACCUUAUUCCCUGUUAUGGAAUUGAAGUUUAAUUAUAAAUAACACGGCAUUUUGCGUAAUUUAAAAAAUCUCGAUAAUUAAUUACAGGUUACUAAUGGAGCUGGAACUGGUUAUUUAUCACUAUUUAUCCUGCUUUAACUGAUUUAUUGAUUU
rnacentral:lncRNA from 1 species